UCCCAUGUAGCUCAGUUGGUAGAGCAUAACGCUUGCAACGCCAGGGUUGUGGUUCGAUUCCCACGGGGGAC
rnacentral:tRNA from 1 species